rnacentral:rRNA from 1 species
UACAGAGGGGCAAGCGUUAUUCGGAAUUAUUGGGCGUAAAGGGCGCGUAGGCGGCUUGGCAAGUGGAUGGUGAAAUCCCUCGGCUUAACCGAGGAAGUGCGCCCGAAACUACUUGGCUUGAGUACCGGAGAGGGUGGCGGAAUUCCCGGUGUAGAGGUGAAAUUCGUAGAUAUCGGGAGGAACACCAGUGGCGAAGGCGGCCACCUGGACG